GCUGCCGGUUACAAUCUGCUUCAACUUGGAAAGUGUUCAAAGUCAGCUUGGUACAAAGAAAACUUGAAAGAGUCCAACACAUACGUAGCUUGGCUUUGGUUCUUGCUGGAUCAGGUAUUUACCUUUUCCCAUGUAUAGAGUUUGUCUCUCUUUGGAUGUCUUUCAUGAGUUUUUUUAUUUUUUUAUUUUUAUACAAGCGAUAUUCUACUUUAAUUUAAUCGAAAUUACGGAGAGAGCGAUUCGAACUUGAGUGCAGAGUGGAGAGCACAUCUACUUUAACCAACUUAAUAAGCCCAUAUCUAAAUGUCUUUUAUGAGUUCUUCAUAUAAAUAAAACCAAGAUUAUGGAUAUUGUUAAAAGAAAUUUGAAGAUAACUUUUUUUUUUUCUUCUGGAAUUUGAAAGAUAACUUAGGAUUAAAUUUUUAGCUAGUUUUGGAAUAUGUUUCGGAUACACUAACCAGGAACAUAAAAAAAUUUCUCUAGUCCCAGGACCAUCAACACUUAGGAUGUCUUAUUUAAUUCGUCUCUCUUUGAUGAGAAAGUUUUCCCAAUGGUUCUUCCCUAGUCUCUCUCUGGCGCCUACCCCAUCUCCCUCCUCUCCAACAACCAACUACCAACUAUAAAGAACACUCAACAAAAAAAAUUCAGCAUUAAAGGUAUUUUCUCGUGACAUUACUAGUCCGAUAAAUAUAAGCUCCCAUAUUCCGUGAAAGGUAUACUAGUGAUAUUUUGGGAUGUGGGGUUCGUUUUUUAUUUGGAAGUGUCCGAGGGUGAGAAAGAGACAAUGAUAUGGAUUUGACAUUGAUUUUUCUUUUAAGCUGUUUGAUUAAUUAUUGAGUAUACAAGGUAUUUCUAAUUGCCGACUUGCAUGCGCAUAUACUUAUACAUGAUACUAAUAAUUGAUUUUUUUUUUUUAUACAGUUCUUGUUUUUUGAGGAAAAAUUAUAGAAUACUACGCUAGUGUAGUUACAUGAUACAUUUUGUAUAUGUGUUAUAAUAUGAGUGAACCAUAAAAUUUAUUUUCGUACUCAACGGAUAGGUGAAGGUCCCUAGACAUCAGAGUGAAUUAACUUAAAUGGAGUAGUACACUUAUUCGUACUCAACGGAUAGGGCACGCGGUGACUCUUGGUCAAAAUACAAGUAUCACAUGUGAAGUCGGAGUCCUUGAAACCUGAGAAUAAACUUGGUAUAAGAUGCUUCAUAUAACUAAAAGACGGAUGUCUUAAUCGACGAUGUCACAACCAGAUUUGCUUUUGUUUGCUAUCAAAAAGACGCGUCACACUGUUAGCCAUGCCGGGAUUGUAUUCAUCUACAUAAUAUAGCCCCCUCUCUUAGUAGCACGAUCAAGAAUCUCCUUAGUGUGAAUAUCCUGAAGCAAACAAAAACUCGGAUAAAUGAGUACACAACAAUUCAAUUAUUCAGUAAGCUGACUAACUGACAUCAAUUUAUUGGAUAAAGAUGAAACAAGCAAAGUAUUAGACAAUGAAAGAGAGGAUGAGAGUGCAACAGUGCCAACCCUUGUCACAGGAUAAGUAACUCCAUUGGCGUUAGCAAUACAAGUUCGUCGGGAUUUGGUAGUAUUCAGAAAAUCAUUAGGAUCAAAUGUCAUAUGAUCAGUUGCACCAAAAUCAAUUAUCCAGCUCGUGAAAUCACUCUUAUCCGAAGUAAAUCCAUAACCAGUAUCAUUACGGGUCGUAUCGGGUUGUGUUCGAUCUUUGAAAGUAACCCACCAUUCGGGGUAGCCAUGCAAUUUAAAACAAGUCGUACGAGUGUGUCUCGAAUCAUCGCAGUAUGCGCAAUUUCGUCCAUGUGUCCGGGUCGUUAGUUGGGAAGUCAUAAUUUGUGCAGUAAAAUAUACAUAAGAUACAAGUUUAGUAGGAAUCCGGAUCUAGAUCUGAGCCUGAGUCAGGGUUGGAGUCAAAGCCGGGAUCUGGGUAUGAAUCAUAGAUAGAUUCAAGGUCGGGUCAUCAUCGGAGUCGAGGUCAUCAUCUUCGUAGUCGAGGUCAUCAUCAUAGUCGGAGUCAGGGUCAUCAAAAUAGGAUCCUGAUUCAGAAUCUGGUUUGAGGUCGAAGUCUGCAUCUGUAGGAGCUGAGCCACCUGGGCACUCAACUCGGCGUCGAAAUCAUCAACCCCCAUAGCGACGGCGGGGGUUGGAAACUAGAGUAAGCAAUUCCAAGAUCGCUACUCUGAUACCAUGUAAAAUAUGAACUAGGAGAAAAUAUUUGUUUGUGGGAAUUUUAUGUAUAUUAUUCUCCUUAUAUUGUAGGAGGUCAUAUUUAUAAUACAAUGAAACUUUAAUAGUCCAUAAGUCACGCCAACAGAUUUUGAUUCUCAAACCAAAUAUGUGAUUUUCAUUUAUAGAAAAGCUACCUUCAGAGAUUUGAAGGCCCUCUUGUAAGUUCCCUUUUUUCUCUCUCUCACAUUUGGCCUUUCGAAUUUCUUCCUUGCUUACUUAUAAAUAUGUUAACGUUCAAAACUUGGGGUUUUUUUUUGGAAAGGGUUUUGGUUUAUGUUGUUUAGGUGGCUGCCGGUUACAAUCUGCCUCACCUUGGAAAGUGUUCAAAGUCAGCUUGGUACAAAGAAAACUUGAAAGAGUCUAACACAUACGUAGCUUGGGUUUGCUUCUUGCUGGAUCAGGUAUUUACCUUUUCCCAUGUAUAGAGUUUGUCUCUCUUUGGAUGUCUUUUAUGGGUUUUUAUUUUUAUUUUUUAUAUAAGUGAUAUUCUACUUUAAUCUAAUUGAAAAUACGGAGGGGGCGAUUCGAACUCUAGUGCAAAGUAAAGAGCACAUCUACUUUAGCCACCUUGACUAAGCCCAUGUCUGCAUGUCUUUCAUAAGUUCUUCAUGUAGAUAGAACCAAGAUUAUGAAUACUGUUAAAAGAAAUUUGAAGAUAACUGUUUUUUCUGUUUUUUUGGAAUUUGAAAGAUAAGUUAGGAUUAAAUUUUUCACUAGCUUAUAUUUUAUGCACUUGCACAAUCUUUAUUUUUUCCUCUUUUUGUUCUUUUUGUAGUAAUACUCCCAAUUCUAAAAAUAAUUUUUGUAUAUGUUUCGGAUACACCAAUCAAGAACAUAAACAAAUUUCUCUAGUCCCAGGACCAAGCAACACUUAGGAUGCCUUAUUUAAUUCGUCUCUCUUUGAUGAGAAAGUUUUCUCAAUGGUCCUUCCCUAGUCUCUCUCUGGCGCCUACCCCAUUUCCCUCCUCUCCCAACCACCAAACUACCAACUAUAAAGAACACUCAACAAAAAAAAUUCAGCACUAAAUGUACUCUCUCGUGACAUUACUAGUCCAAUAAUUAUUGAGUAUACAAGGUAUUUCUGAUUGCCGAUAACUGCAUGCGCGUAUAUUUAUGCAUUUAUUAAUAAUUGAUUUUUUUAUAUGGUUUUUUUUGUUGUUGAAGAAAUUAUAGAAUACUACAGUAAUAUAGUUACAUGAUACAUUUUGUAUACGUGUAUGAGUGGACGAUAAAGUUUAUUUUCCCCCCUUUUAGAGAAUAAUAUCAAUAAAUAUCCACUUAUAUUAUAACAAGUGUACAAAAUAUACCACGUGACCAUACUACUAUAAUAUAUACUAUAUGAAUGUAAGUAUGCAUGAUAUUAAGAGAAUAUUAAAUAAUAUAUUUUACACAGGACAAAACUUGACUCCUUUACACUAAGGGGAAAUUUCGAUUUAACCUGCAAGUAUGAAUGCAUGAUAUUUUAAAAAAUAUUAAAUCAUAUAUUUUGUAUAGGACAAAGUUUGGCUACUCAAAAUAAAUGAAAUUUUGACACUUGUCAAAACUAUUUAGUUUUUUUUUUUUAUAAUUAAAAUAUUGGAAUUUCUUUAACUUUUUUUAAUAUUGGGUUUUGACAACCAAUAUUAUUAGCCAAACAGAUACAAGAAGGUCAAAAACUCUGAAAACAACUAAGACAAAUUAGAGCCCAAUGGCCCUACAAGAUAACAUCACAGUGGAGACAACUAGAACACAGCAACUACCAAUUGCCAAUGCUCCACUCGGGUAAUUAUAAGCAGAGUUCUUCAGCACUUGAAUGGCUGACAUUUAGAGAGCACAAUAAUCAACUCUUAAUUGUGUUUAUAGCCAACUCUUAAUGGCUGACAUUUCAUGCAUCAAUAUGAUUUGAAACGUGAUAAUUAAUUAAGACGGUUGAGUACGAGGCAGGGCAACAUUAUCACGUUUCAAAUCGUAUUGAUGCAUGAAAAUGACAGACUUGUUGUAGCUAGCUACACAUAUCUUACAACGUGGGGUAUGAACAAUCAAAAUCUUGAAUAAUUUCAAUCUUACCAUUGAAGCUGCUUUGCCCUUCACAAUCACACAUAUUUUCAUCAUUGUCAGAGAAGUUUUAUGAAGUCAAUGAUUUGUUUUCCUUAUGAAAAAAAUAUACACACAAAAAACUUUCUAAAUGAGUUUCGAAAAGUUUCCCUAAAGGGUAAAGACGUAUGGUGGUAAAUGUACACCGGUAGGUUGUGUAGAUAAACACCGUUUUGUUACCUUUCUGGGUAUGAACUAUUAACUGUACGUAUAUCAUUUAAGGACAACAAUAAAUGACUUGAUAAAAGAUGGGACAGUUGCAAGGCAACUUGAGAUUCGAAUGGUUGCAACUUGUAAAUAUAAAAUAGGGUAGUUAUCAGUCCACUACUACGAAGUUGUUUGUGUUUUAGAGUUUGAUACAAUAAGUCUUUUUCGUCUCAGUUGCAUCCAUAACGUGUAAUUUCGUUUCAAUUUCAUACAUUCGUUAGUUUGACCGUUAAAUAAUGACGUGACAAUUAAUGAUGCCACAUGGACUCACCUAUAUUUUGCCACGUGGACUAAGUAAUGAAAAAAAUUUCAAAAAAAUUAAACUAAUAAAAAUCACUUUUUUUAAAUAAAUAAAAAAAUCACUUUCUCCCCCUCACCUCCCGUGGCAUCAAUUAGGGGUGGGCACGGUUCAGUUUGGACCUAAUAAAAAAUUCAAAAACUGUCCGGUUUGGAAUCGGAUUAUAAAAAUUAUUUUUUAAUACAAUUCUCAACUGAAAUAUUAUUAUUUUACUUGAAAAUUAACAAAUUGUUCAAUUUUAUAUAAAAAUAAAUAUUAAAGUUAAAAAAGAGAGAUAUUUUGAAAUUGAACUUGGAUAAAUAUUAGUUUUUUUUAGUAAAAUUAAAAAUAUAGCAUUAAAUAUAAAUAUAUAUUGAAAUUAUAUAUUUUUUUAAUUUGACCGGUUCGGUUUGGCCCGGUCUGGGAUCUGAAAUCGGUCCAAACCGGUCCGGUUCGAUUUUUGACCGGUUGUUGACUUUUUGGUCAACUUAAUUUUUUCCGGUUUGGAUCGGCUCGAAUUUCCGGUUUGCUGAUUUGAGUGCCCACCCUAACAUUAAUGCCCUGCAUCUCCCACCUCUGCACCACAAAACCAACCCACACCCAUCCACUUCACCCCCACUCUACCCAUAACGCAACCCACCACCGCACCAUCCGUACCCACAAACCUGCUAACCAAGCUAGCCCCAAAACCCAAAACUCAUAAUUGGAGGAGGAAAUUACCAUGGUCGUCUCCAUCAAGCUCACAGACCACGAUUCGCUGGUCAAGUAAGCAAGCACAUCGCUCAACAGUAAGGUAGUGAGUGAGCCAGUACUAGACUCCUCUCGCACCGCUUGUUGUCGACGUCGUGCUCUCAAUGGCGGACCCGUGAAGCCAUAAGUGGUGGACCUAAGGGAUAUCAAGAUUGUGAAGAGUAUCCAUUGACAAUAUUGAGACAUUGUGCUAAAAAUAUGAAUAUGGUUUGAAUGUAUUAGGUUAACUUUAUUCUUCUCCAUAAGGAGGUAUAUAUAAGAGUUUACAGGGUGCUUUACAAGGAAUUAGAUACAGUAAAGAAUUAGGAAAGUAUCUCCUAAUUAUACAAUGAUUUACAACUAUAUAAAAAUAGGAAAGUAAAUCCCUUAAUUAAUCAAGGAAAUAAAUCUCCUUAAAUAAUUAGGAGACUCACGUCAACACAUUGUAGGGACUUGUUUUCGAGAAGAAGGCUAGUCACGACACUGGUGGGCCUACGAGGAUGGAGAACGCGAAGAUCAUUGUGGUUCGAUUCUAGAUUUUGCCUCCAAAGACCGAUGCAAUUACUAAUUCUUCCAUGAAUUUGCGUUAAUUUCUUACUCAGUUUUGUGAAGGAAUCAAAUUUCUUUUAAUUUUUGCAAGCUACAGAGGGGACGGCUUGGUUUUUGGGGUAGGGAAGGAGCCGGUGAAGUGGAUUUGGGGUUUGGCUUUGUGGGUACGGAUGGUGGAUGGGUUCAUGGGUAGGGUUGGUGGAGUGGUGGUGGAUGUGGAUGGGUCAUGGGUGUGGGUUGGGUUUGGGGUGCAAAGAUGGGAGGUGCAAGGUGUUGAUGCCAUGGGAGUUGAAGGGAGCGAGUGUUUUUUUCAAAACAAAAAAUAAGUGAUUUUUAUUAGUUUUUUUAUAAAUAUUUUCUAAAUAUAUUUUUGAAUUUGAAGUUGGGUCAUGGGGGGAAGGGGGGAGCACCUCAACCACUGAGGUAAACCCAAGGACCCUUUCUAAAUAUAUUUUCAUUACUUAGUCCAUGUGACAGUAUAAGUGACUCUAUGUGAUACAAUUGAUUGUCAUGUCACUAUUUAAUGGGGAACAUGAUGAUGUCACUAUUUAAUGGAGAACAUGACGAUCAAACUAAUGGAGGUAUGAAAAUUAUAUUGAAUUAAACAUUAUGAAUACGACUGAGAAAAAAAAAAACUUAUUGUAUCGAAUUCUAAAACACGAACAACUUCGUAAUAAUCAACUGAUAAUUACCCUAUAAAAUAUUAGGCGUCUUGCUGGCAAAGGGGAAAGUUGGGUACCCAACCACCCUAAUCAUGAUAAUGGUGGAUGCUAUACAAUUCCUGAACAUGCAUAAGAUGACUUACUUUCGAACUUUGAACCGUAAUGCAAGCCAAAAGCGUAUACCAUGAUGGUCACCUUAUACCAAUAUCCCACGUUUUUUUAAUUGAAUGUUGGAUAAAAUAACUCAAGUGUUUAAUACGUAAAUAUAGGUAUUUGUAACCCGACUUCAUCUGAAAACCUCACCCAAAGGCAUCAAUAGUUCACUUACCAUUUUCAGUCUGUGGGGUACAUCACUUUUGUGCACAACGUGGACAUUUUCCUACCGCUAGUCCACAACUUUUGUUGCUCCCAACCCAAGUAUGCCACGCAGCCUCUCCAAUAAAUAUAGUCAUGGGAGCAUUGAGAAGAACGGAUAUUGUGAACAGAUUGACCAGAAGAAAAAAAGAAGAAGAAAAAUGAAGCAUGGGACGGCGAAAACGGAGGCUUUUCUAAGGCUUUGUGCAGUCUUAGUCCUAGUCCUUACGGCAUGUUUAGUAGGUUUCGAUUCUCAAACCAAAUAUGUGAUUUUCAUUUAUAGAAAAGCUACCUUCAGAGAUUUGAAGUGCCUCUCGUAAGUUCCCUUUUUCCUCUCUUUGCUCUUUCUCUUUGACAUUUGGCCUUUCGAUUUUCUUCCUUGCUUACUUAUAAGUACGUUAACGUUCAAAACUUGGUUUUUUUUUUGGAAAGAGUUUUGGUUUAUGUUGUUUCUGUGGCUGCCGGUUACAAUCUGCUUCAACUUGGAAAGUGUUCAAAGUCAGCUUGGUGCAAAGAAAACUUGAAAGGGUCUAACAUAUACGUAGCUUGGCUUUGCUUCUUGCUGGAUCAGGUAUUUACCCUUUCCCAUGUAUAGAGUUUGCCUCUCUUUGGAUGUCUUUUAUGAGUUUUUAUUUUUAUUUUUUAUACAAGCGAUAUUCUACUUUAAUCUAAUCUAAAUUACGGGGAUUGCGAUUCGAAUUCGAGUGCAGAGUAGAGUGCACAUCUACUUUAGCCAACUUGACGCCCAUAUUUGCAUGUCUUUUAUGAGUUCUUCAUAUAGAUAAAACCAAAAUUAUAGGUAUUGUUAAAAGAAAUUUGAAGAUAACUUAGGAUUAAAUUUUUAGCUGGCUUAUAUUUUAUGCACUUGCACAAUCUUUAUUUUUUCCUUUUUUGUUGCUUUUGUACACAAUAAUACUCCCAGUUCCAAGAAUAACUUUUGUUUAUGUUUCAGAUACACCAGCCAGGAACAUAAAAAAAUUUCUUCAGUCCCAGGACAAGCAACACUUAGGAUGUCUUAUUUAAUUCGUCUCUCUUUGAUGAGAAAGUUUUCCCAAUGUUCCUUCCCUAGUCUCUCUCUCGCGCCUACCCCAUCUCCCUCUUCUCCCAACUACCAAUUACCUUGCAAUCCCACAUAAACCACAUAUGCAUUCAGAGUAUAUGGAAAUCUAAUCUUCUUUGUACUUUACAUAUUACUAGCCUUCCCUUCGGAAACCAACCAAGGCAACUGGUUAAGAUGGGUGAGGGUAUAAAUCUUAGAUUUGGUCCUCUACUUAUUCAAACAAGUCAUUGUCUAUUAUUGUGAGCUUAUAACUAAACAGGAUACUAAAAUGAUUAUUUGUAUGAAGUCGUAUUAAGUUAGCCCUCAACCCUAACUCGUAGUGGCAUCCCACUCUCGAGAGGGAAACAAUUAUAGAGUCAACAAAAAAAUUAUAUAAAAAAUUUAAAAAUUCCACACUCUGUAAUGUUGUAUUUGUAACAUGUAAAUAAAUGAAACUAACCAUCUAUUCGUCUUGUUGCAUCUUGCUGCAUAUAAUUUGCUAAACAGGUAGCUGUGUACGUGACAUUUGGAGCAAACUCAGCUGCGCUUGAGGCUUCUGUGCUAGCAAUAAAAGGCGCACAAGAUUUUCAAUGGAUGAAGUUGUGCAACAAAUAUACAAGAUUCUGCUUUCAAAUUGGUGGGGCUUUGGCAUGUGGGUAUGUGGCCUGUAUCCUAAUGGCUUGGAUAUCCCUCAUCAGCGCCUUCAAUCUCUUUAGGCUUUACUCACCGAAACAAUUCCUUUUGUUAAAGAGCAGAGGGUGACAGGUUUUCUAAGCAAAUAAUGUAUAAAUUAUGAAUGUUUAUCUAGAAAUAAAUUUAAUGAAAUCAAAUAAAGCUUUGACACCAAAAGCAAUGGAUACUUGUAAAGCACAGACUUGUCAGAAGAGAAGGCACACAUUCGAGAAGAGAAGCAAAUAGAAUGGGAGUGACAGUUUUAUUGAUCACUUUAAUAUUCAUCUCUAAUUUUUAAUACAAGAAAAAUAGUCUAAAUUAUAAGUGAAAUGGGAG
rnacentral:lncRNA from 1 species